ACCACAACUCCAAAAACUGAUGCACAACACGAGGUUCAUAAUCCUCGACACCCAUUGAUUUAAGCAAUGAUUUCACAAUCUUGGCAUCCCUUGGCAUGUCUUCUUCUCCCUCCGCCAUACUCUCUGCUUGUCAGUAAACAUGCAUUAAAAGCCAACAUUAGACACCUCCAAAGACAGAACCAACACAGCCCAACACAACACACAUCCUUUUUUCCCAGCAGGAGAUGUGUUAUAUGAAAUCAACCAAACAAUCGAAAAAUUAAAACCAUGUACCAACUAAAUCAGCUUGCAAACAGAGACCUGUGUGCUAGUACAAAGGACCAUCACAUGGAUAAUCAGGUUUGACCCUAAAUCUCCGUAACGCAGAAUACCUGGUGUAAACUUAAAGAAUGCCCAAAGGCUUAAUAAAGUUUUUGAAUGUUAUGCUGUUAUCGAGCCUUUUCAAUUGUUUAAGUAUUCAAGCAAAGGAUAUAACCCACAAAACAAAACCCAUCAUGUUGGGGGUGAUUUUCUCCAUUGCAAUUUCACAUACAACAACCUAAAAAUCCUAUAUAUAUCUUCUAGGUCUAAUGUCGGGCAUGUAUUAAAAUGCUACAAGAUUGUAAGUACAAGCUUGUCAAUAUGGAGCAUGAAUUUCUUUGCAGAGAAAAGAAAGAACACUAAUUCAUCGAUAAAUAAUAAUAAUAAAAAACUAAAGCGCAGCUGAAAUUAACAAGUGGGUUUUGGCUGCUUCAAACAAAUUUCAAAAAACGAAACAGAAAAAUGAAAUACUUAGAAGGGAUCGAUUCAAAAGUGAAGGCAAGGCAACCGAGGCACUAACCUUGGAAAUGAGAUUGGGGCUGAUCCCAAGGAACAAGGACUUGUUGGGAGAGAUUUUAGUAAAUUACUCUCUGUUGCUAUUAUUCAAUUGUGAAUACAUGUAGUUAUAGAGACUAGAGAGCGAGAGUGCGAAGAAGAAAACAGAA
rnacentral:lncRNA from 1 species